AUUCAAUGAACACUGAGCUCUACUAAGUGACAGAUGCUACUGAAUAGCAGAGAACCGAAGAUAACAAGAUAGCCUCUGCCCUUAAUAAGGUCACAGUGUGAGGAGGGAGGCAGAAUGGUGCCUAACUAUAAAUGCAGUGUGGUAGAUUUCACUGGACACAGCUGGAGGAGAGUGGGGAAAGCUUCGUGAAGGAGGUGCUGUGGAGUUGACUCAUGAAGGGUGAGGAAAAUUAUGAUGGCUGAACAUUUAUUGAGUGCCUACCAUCUCCCUGCUAAGCAACUUAAAUAUAGCAUUAUUUAACGCUGUGAACAGGUGUAUAACAUAAGUACUGAUAUUACUUUUACCUUAGGGUUGAAGAAGCAGGCUCAGAAAGGACCAAGGUUUGGAGCGACCACUGGUGGACUUAAGAUUCAGACCUGGUUCUUCCUGGUUUCACAUCUCCUGCUUUAACCAUGUGCUGGUCAGACAAGAAAGGAAAUCAGAGCAGAAGAAAUAAUCCAUCUCAAAAAUGGAAACUUCAUGGUGUGUAUUCAGGGAACCGCAGGAAUUCCAGGGAAGAGAUGAGGCAGGAGUCCACCUCACUCAGAAGUGGUUUUCGCAACCCUGUCUGGAGUUACAGCCUCAGUGAUCUUCCUUAUUGAUGAAAUACCACUGGAAACUUGAGUGCAGACCCAUUUUGGCCCAGCCUUCUUCUGAGUGCACAGUGCCCACCAGGAACAAAGUGUCCAGGUGACACCCAGCCAAGAGCCUCCACUUCAGAAUGGAAGCCAGCACAGCUUAAAGCUUGCCGUCAGUGAGGUUCCUGGAGGAACCAGGAAACAGGGCUGAGGUAAGAGAAAGAACCCCAGCAACUCACUGUCCUUGUCCUCCCCUUCUAUAUCAGUAUGGUCCCCGCUUCUGGUUUGGGAAGGGUGGGGAAGAACAUGUUUGCCCCAAACCACACCCCAUCUCGGGCCAAGCAGGGCCAUGGCAGUAUUGCAGUGGGGAAGGAAUGAACACUCUUCAGGGUGGUCUCUUUAUCUGCUCAUGCAGGGGUCCAUCCAGAUCACUUAGAGUGGAGAACAGGAGCAAGAAUAGAAGUGGCAAGAGAGGGUGCUUUGAGGUCAUGUGACCCUGAGU
rnacentral:lncRNA from 1 species